rnacentral:rRNA from 1 species
AGAGUUUGAUCCUGGCUCAGAUUGAACGCUGGCGGCAUGCCUUACACAUGCAAGUCGAACGGCAGCACGGGGGCAACCCUGGUGGCGAGUGGCGAACGGGUGAGUAAUACAUCGGAACGUGUCCUGUAGUGGGGGGAUAGCCCGGCGAAAGCCGGAUUAAUACCGCAUACGCUCUACGGAGGAAAGGGGGGGAUCUCAGGACCUCCCGCUACAGGGGCGGCCGAUGGCAGAUUAGCUAGUUGGUGGGGUAAAGGCCUACCAAGGCGACGAUCUGUAGCUGGUCUGAGAGGACGACCAGCCACACUGGGACUGAGACACGGCCCAGACUCCUACGGGAGGCAGCAGUGGGGAAUUUUGGACAAUGGGCGAAAGCCUGAUCCAGCAAUGCCGCGUGUGUGAAGAAGGCCUUCGGGUUGUAAAGCACUUUUGUCCGGAAAGAAAACCUCCGCCCUAAUAUGGUGGGGGGAUGACGGUACCGGAAGAAUAAGCACCGGCUAACUACGUGCCAGCAGCCGCGGUAAUACGUAGGGUGCAAGCGUUAAUCGGAAUUACUGGGCGUAAAGCGUGCGCAGGCGGUCCGCUAAGACAGAUGUGAAAUCCCCGGGCUUAACCUGGGAACUGCAUUUGUGACUGGCGGGCUAGAGUAUGGCAGAGGGGGGUAGAAUUCCACGUGUAGCAGUGAAAUGCGUAGAGAUGUGGAGGAAUACCGAUGGCGAAGGCAGCCCCCUGGGCCAAUACUGACGCUCAUGCACGAAAGCGUGGGGACAAACAGGAUUAGAUACCCUAGUAGUCC